UCCUGGCUUAGGAUGAACGCUGGCGGCAUGCCUAACACAUGCAAGUCGAACGGAGCUAUGAUGGAGCUUGCUUUUUAUAGCUUAGUGGCGGACGGGUGAGUAACGCGUGAGGAAUCUGCCCUCGAUGGGGAAUAACACCGAGAAAUCGGUGCUAAUACCGCAUAACGUCUUCGGAUCGCAUGUUCUGAAAGACCAAAGGAUUUAUUCGCUUGAGGAUGAUCUCGCGUCCGAUUAGUUAGUUGGUGAGGUAACGGCUCACCAAGACCGCGAUCGGUAGCCGAACUGAGAGGUUGAUCGGCCACAUUGGGACUGAGACACGGCCCAGACUCCUACGGGAGGCAGCAGCGGGGAAUAUUGGGCAAGUGGGCGAAAAAGCCUGACCCAGCAAUGCCGCGUGAAGGAUGAAGGCCUUCGGGUUGUAAACUUCUUUGAUUGGGGAAGAACAAAGUGACCUACCCAAAGAACAAGUCACGGCUAACUACGUGCCAGCCGCUGC
rnacentral:rRNA from 1 species